AUUAUUAUUAUUAUUAUUAUUUCAUGAUGUCUGGGUGUGUGUGUGUGUGUGUUAGAGAAGUUGGAAGAGUUCAAUCCGAUUUGAUCGAUGUGGUUGAUACUUGAUUGAAUGAAUGGUAAGACCAAGUCAUUACUUAUUUUUCCA